UUUUCUAAUAAUUAUUUCUUAAUAAUUUUAAUUUUUUAAUUCAAUGGUGGUGGGGGUGACUCCCCAUGGUCCCCAUGAUUAAAUAAUAGUCAUAUUAUAGGUUUACACACUGGCUAAUAGAAGUGUUGUUGUAUUAAAUUCAACAAUAAAUGUGUAUGAUUUUAAUUGACUAGGUCUUACAAGGUAUAAUUGAUAUUGUGUG
rnacentral:lncRNA from 1 species